GCCUAGACAUGCAAGUCGAGUGGGUUUAGACCCCGGCGAACGGGUGAGUAAUACCUGGGAACUUCCAUUAAGUUGAGGACAUCCUCCCGAAAGGGAGAGCAAUACUCGAUGUGGCCGCAAGGCUAAAGUCGCAAGACGCUUAAUGCAAGGCCCGGGCCCCAUCAGCUAGUUGGUAGGGUAAUGGCCUACCAAGGCGACGACGGGUAGCGGAAGCGAGAGCUUGAUCCGCCACACUGGGACUGCGACACGGCCCAGACUCCUACGGGAGGCAGCAGUUUGGAAUUUUGGACAAUGGACGAAAGUCUGAUCCAGCGACGCCGCGUGCACCAAAGACGGUCUUCGGAUUGUAAAGUGCUUUUGCAGGGAACGAAUUUUUGACGGUACCCUGAGAAUAAGAGGUUGCUAACUCUGUGCCAGCAGCAGCGGUAAUACAGAGACCUCAAGCGUUAUCCGGAAUCAUUGGGCGUAAAGCGUACCGAUAGGUGGUUUAUUAAGUUUUGGGUAAAAGCCAGAAGCUCAACUUCUGCGUUUGCUCAAGAUCUGAUAGACUAGAGGGACA
rnacentral:rRNA from 1 species